GCUUGCUUCCACAGAACAUACACUAACACUGCAAAAAUACGCAGAAGAUGAACAGGGCCCCUGCGCAAGGAUGACUUAAAAAUUUCUGAAGGAGUCCAUAUAAAA